CCUACGGGUGGCAGCAGUAGGGAAUAUUGCACAAUGGGGGAAACCCUGAUGCAGCAACGCCGCGUGGAGGAUGAAGGGUUUCGGAGUGUAAACCCCUGUUGUUAGAGAAGAUAAUGACGGUUUCUAACGCAUAAGCACCGGCUAACCCCGUGCCAGCAGCCGCGGUAAUACGGAGGGUGCAAGCGUUACUCGGAAUCACUGGGCGUAAAGAGCGCGUAGGCGGGACAGCAAGUCAGAUGUGAAAUCCUAUGGCUUAACCAUAGAACUGCAUUUGAAACUGUUAUUCUAGAGUAUGGGAGAGGUAAGGGGAAUUCUUGGUGUAGGGGUGAAAUGCGUAGAGAUCAAGAGGAAUACUCGUUGCGAAGGCGACCUGCUGGAACAUAACUGACGCUGAUGCGCGAAAGCGUGGGGAGCGAACAGGAUUAGAUACCCCUGUAGUC
rnacentral:rRNA from 1 species